GUUGAGAUUGUAGACAUCACUAUAUUUUUAAUAUCAGUCCUCUGAUCACACAAGUUUGGAACACACAAACAUCAGGAAAACAUUUAACAACUUCUCUCUGAUAGAUAUAAAUAAAUAAAUAAAACCAUAAUAAAUAAGAAUAAAUAUAUGAUUAAACAUUUGGUUACUUAAACAUUUCAAAUGGUCACAGGUACUUCAGUUUGUUGCUUCAUUUGGAGGAUGUGAACUUAAGAAAUGUUAAAAACAUGAUCUGAGUACAUGUGACGACAGAGCCAGAACUACUGUAAGGAAGCUGAUGUUGUUGAGAAUAGCAGAGGAGGUGGUUGUUGCUGUCGCUGCAGUUAUGGUUGUUGAAGCAGCUGUAGUUGUUGUCGCGGCAGUUUUGGUUGUUGUUGGAACAGUUGUGGUUGUUGUUGCUGGUGUUGUUGUUGUUGUCGCUGCGGUUGUGGUUGUUGUUGAAGCAGCUGCAGUUGUUGUCGCGGCAGUUGUGAUUGUUGUUGGAACAGCUGUGGUUGUUGUCGCUGCAGUUGUGAUUGUUGUUGGAACAGCUGUGGUUGUUGUCGCUGCAGUUGUGGUUGUUGUUGGAACAGCUGUGGUUGUUGUCGCUGCAGUUGUGGUUGUUGUUGGAACAGCUGUGGUUGUUGUCACUGCAGUUGUGAUUGUUGUUGGAACAGCUGUGGUUGUUGUUGGGGCAGAUGUGGUUGUUGUUGGAGCAGCUGUGGUUGUUGUCGCUGCAGUUGUGGUUGUUGUUGGAACAGCUGUGGUUGUUGUCACUGCAGUUGUGGUUGUUGUUGGAACAGCUGUGGUUGUUGUUGGGGCAGAUGUGGUUGUUGUUGUAGCAGCUGUGGUUGUUGUUGCAGCAACUGUAGUUGUUGUUGCUGCAGAUGUGGUUGUUGUCGCUGCAACUGUGGUUGUUGUUGGAGCAGCUGUAGUUGUUGUUCGAGCAGAUGUGGUUGUUGUCGCUGCAGUUGUGGUUGUUGUUGUCGCAACUGUAGUUGUUGUCGGUGCAGCUGUGGUUGUUGUCGGAGCAGCUGUGGUUGUUGUCACUGCAGUUGUGGUUGUCGUUGGAACAGCUGUGGUUGUUUUUGGGGCAGCUGUGAUUGUUGUUGGAGCAGAUGUGGUUGUUGUUGGAGCAGCUGUGGUUGUUGUUGGAACAGCUGUGGUUGUUGUUGUUGCAGCUGUAGUUGUUGUCGGUGCAGCUGUAGUUGUUGUUGCUGCAACUGUAGUUGUUGUUGCUGCAACUGUAGUUGUUGUUGGAGCAGCUGUGGUUGUUGUUGUCGCAGCUGUAAUUGUUGUCGGUGCAGCUGUAGUUGUUGUCGGUGCAGCUGUGGUUGUUGUUGCUGCAACUGUAGUUGUUGUCGCUGCAACUGUAGUUUUUGUUGGAGCAGCUGUGGUUGUUGUUGUCGCAGCUGUAGUUGUUGUCGGUGCAGCUGUAGUUGUUGUUGCUGCAACUGUAGUUGUUGUUGGAGCAGCUGUGGUUGUUGUCCCUGCAGCUGUGGUUGUUGUUGGAACAGCUGUGGUUGUUGUUGGUGCAGCUGUGGUUGUUGUUGGAGCAGCUGUGGUUGUUGUCGCUGCAGUUGUGGUUGUUGUUGGUGCAGCUGUAGUUGUUGUUGCUGCAACUGUAGUUGUUGUUGCUGCAACUGUAGUUGUUGUUGGAGCAGCUGUGGUUGUUGUUGGUGCAGCUUUGGUUGUUGUUGGUGCAGCUGUGGUUGUUGUUGGAGCAACUGUAGUUGUUGUUGCUGCAACUGUGGUUGUUGUUGGAGCAGCUGUGGUUGUUGUCCCUGCAGCUGUGGUUGUUGUUGGAGCAGCUGUGGUUGUUGUUGGUGCAGCUGUGGUUGUUGUUGGAGCAGCCGUGGUUGUUGUCGCUGCAGUUGUGGUUGUCGUUGGAGCAGCUGUGGUUGUUGUUGGGGCAGCUGUGAUUGUUGUUGGAGCAGAUGUGGUUGUUGUUGGAGCAGCUGUGGUUGUUGUUGGAACAGCUGUGGUUGUUGUUGUCGCAGCUGUAGUUGUUGUUGCAGCAACUGUAGUUGUUGUUGGGCAGAUGUGGUUGUUGUCGCUGCAGCUGUGGUUGUUGUUGGAGCAGCUGUAGUUGUUGUUGGAGCAGCUGUGGUUGUUGUUGUCGCAGCUGUAGUUGUUGUCGGUGCAGCUGUAGUUGUUGUUGCUGCAACUGUAGUUGUUGUUGUCGCAACUGUAGUUG
ensembl:lncRNA